rnacentral:rRNA from 1 species
CCCAUGGCUCAGAUUGAACGCUGGCGGCAGGCCUAACACAUGCAAGUCGAGCGGAUGAAGAGAGCUUGCUCUCUGAUUCAGCGGCGGACGGGUGAGUAAUGCCUAGGAAUCUGCCUGGUAGUGGGGGACAACGUUUCGAAAGGAACGCUAAUACCGCAUACGUCCUACGGGAGAAAGCAGGGGACCUUCGGGCCUUGCGCUAUCAGAUGAGCCUAGGUCGGAUUAGCUAGUUGGUGAGGUAAUGGCUCACCAAGGCGACGAUCCGUAACUGGUCUGAGAGGAUGAUCAGUCACACUGGAACUGAGACACGGUCCAGACUCCUACGGGAGGCAGCAGUGGGGAAUAUUGGACAAUGGGCGAAAGCCUGAUCCAGCCAUGCCGCGUGUGUGAAGAAGGUCUUCGGAUUGUAAAGCACUUUAAGUUGGGAGGAAGGGCAUUAACCUAAUACGUUAGUGUUUUGACGUUACCGACAGAAUAAGCACCGGCUA